GAUGAACGCUAGCGAUAGGCUUAACACAUGCAAGUCGAGGGGCAGCACAAGGUAGCUUGCUUUCUGGGUGGCGACCGGCGCACGGGUGCGUAACGCGUAUGCAACUUGCCCUAUACAGGAGGAUAACCCGUCGAAAGACGGACUAAUACUGCGUAUGCUCACAACUUGGCAUCAAGUGGUGAGGAAAGAAAUUCGGUAUAGGAUAGGCAUGCGUCCCAUUAGCUUGUUGGUGAGGUAACGGCUCACCAAGGCAACGAUGGGUAGGGGAACUGAGAGGUUUAUCCCCCACACUGGUACUGAGACACGGACCAGACUCCUACGGGAGGCAGCAGUGAGGAAUAUUGGUCAAUGGGCGCGAGCCUGAACCAGCCAAGUCGCGUGAAGGAGGACUGUCUUAUGGAUUGUAAACUUCUUUUAUACGGGAAUAACAAGAGUCACGUGUGACUCCCUGCAGGUACCGUAUGAAUAAGCAUCGGCUAACUCCGUG
rnacentral:rRNA from 1 species